rnacentral:lncRNA from 1 species
AAUUGAAGAAAUAUGGGUACAAGAUUGUUUUUGUGCAAUGUAUUAGGAAAUUCUUGCACUUUUUGUAAUAAAAAGUAUUAUAUAUUUUUGUAUUAGUGAGGCUUGUCCAGAUGAACAGAGCCCAUAGGAUAUGCAUGUACAACUCUUGCUUGGGGGAAGUCAGUCUUUCGUUCUGUUCAGACCUUCAAAUGAUUGGAUGAGGCACAAUGUCAUCUAAUCUCAUCCAUAAUGUGGAUAAGACAGCCACACUAUGGAGAACAUUCUGUUUUACUCAAAGUCUCAAUUUAAGUGUAAAUCUCAAUGCUUUGAAAAGCUCGGGCUGUUUUUGCGUGCCAACAUAGUGUUGACUAGGAGAGGGUGCUGUGUUAAACAGAGGUCACAAAGCAAUCAGCCACCCUAUCUGAAAAUCCUCAAUAAAAUACUGGCAAACUGAAUCCAGAAGCACAUCAAAAAGCUUAUGCACCACAAUCAAGUCAGCUUCAUCUGAGUGAACUCCCAUUCACAAUUGCUGCAAGGAGAGUGCAGUUCCAGGUCUAGGCUUAAAAGAUCUUGAACGCUUUACUUGUUCUUUUUGAAGCAUGCUGUGCUGGAUGAGAGAGCCCAGGUUUGCCUGCUGUAUGAAGAGGGAGACAUUGCCCAGUCACCCAUCACCCUGGCCCACAGCCAGCUCACUCACCUGAGCAGCUGAGCCCAGAAGAGCUUCAGCCCACAUGGCUGACCUGUAUACAUGAGCCACAUGGAUUGGGGCCUGGAUGAUGCGUGGGAUUGCGGGGGAGGGCAUGCCAUUUGCCAAGAUGGGAAGAACGAUGAAAGGAACAAAUUUGGAGGAGGAAAUGAUAGGCUUUAUGUUAAAUCACAGGUGUCUUCCAGAAAUGUCAGUGGAUCCAUUGGGUAGGCAGUCAAGGUUCAUAACUGAGUCACACCUCCCUCCCUCUCUGUAUGCUUUAACCUCUGCCACAGUCAUGUAGUUAUCUAGGUUUGUUGGAGGUUUUCACUGGCAAAAUUUAAAUAUUCCAUUAUAUUGCUUUUCUGCAUGGAUGAUGAUUUACUUUUAAAAAUGCAUUACAAGAUCUUUGGCUUUGUGCUGUAUUCCUGCAUACAAUUUAAUUAUUUUAUUUGGAGUGGAUUAAAUUAUUUCACUGAAUCCCAUCCCAACCCAGGGGGCAUAUGUUAUUAUCUGAGGUUCAGGAAUAAGCAAUUAAUUUGUCUCUCUUAAGACAAGAAUAAGUGAUAGUAAAAGUUCAAUGUUGUUCUAAGCCUCACAAUGAGUACUUGAUUUUUUUAAUUUAAAUAACAAUAUUUGUACUAUUUUUAUUAUUAUAGAAGAGCCAUCUGCUCAGUGCAGGGCCAAGUGCAUGACCAAGGACAUGGAGGAUAGAAGGUGGUGGUGUGAGGAAGGUGGGAGGGUGGGUAUAUUAGUUAGAGCUGGAAACUCAGGCAGGCUUUCUGUAUUGCAGUUUUGAGGCUGAAUUCCUUCGUCUAUAGAAGCCUCAAUCUUCGCUCUUAAGACUGUCAACUGAUUAGAUGAGUCCCACCUACAAGAUGGAAGAUAAUCUGCUUUAGUAAAUUCCACCAAUUUAAAUGUAGAGCUCAAGAAUAAAACACUGAAUGAUAUCAUGGAUUUGAGAAAAAUCCUUUAAUAGUGAAAUAAAAUAAAUGAUUGAAGCCCAAAUUAAGAAAAUCUUUGUUUUGUAAGUAGGGUAACAAAAUCCCAUUUUCUUAUUCUUUUACUUUUUUGUGUACAAAAACAUGUUUUUCAGGGCUCUGAUUUGGUGGCUCCUAAGCUAAAGACAAUAAGUCAUUUUUGGUUUAUGUCUUGUUUGAUUUGUAACUACGGAAAAUCA